rnacentral:rRNA from 1 species
CUGGCCUUGACAUGCCACUAACGAAGCAGAGAUGCAUUAGGUGCCCGAAAGGGAAAGUGGAUACAGGUGCUGCAUGGCUGUCGUCAGCUCGUGUCGUGAGAUGUUGGGUUAAGUCCCGCAACGAGCGCAACCCUUGCCAAUAAUUGCCAUCAUUCAGUUGGGCACUUUAUUGGGACUGCCGGUGACAAACCGGAGGAAGGUGGGGAUGACGUCAAGUCCUCAUGGCCCUUAUGGCCAGGGCUUCACACGUAAUACAAUGGUCGGUACAGAGGGUUGCCAAGCCGCGAGGUGGAGCCAAUCCCAGAAAGCCGAUCGUAGUCCGGAUUGUAGUCUGCAACUCGACUACAUGAAGUCGGAAUCGCUAGUAAUCGCGGAUCAGCAUGUCGCGGUGAAUACGUUCCC